rnacentral:rRNA from 1 species
UAUAGAGGGGGGCAAGCGUUUAUUCGGAAUUAUUGGGCGUAAAGGGCGCGUAGGCGGCCUGACAAGUGGAAGGUGAAAUCCCUCGGCUUAACCGAGGAACUGCCCUCCAAACUGUUUGGCUUGAGACCGGGAGAGGUGAGUGGAAUUCCCAGUGUAGCGGUGAAAUGCGUAGAUAUUGGGAGGAACACCAGUGGCGAAGGCGGCUCGCUACACAUAUAUUGACUCUGAGGCACGAAAGCGUGGGGAUCAAACAGG